rnacentral:misc_RNA from 1 species
UAGUGAUAUGCAGGGGCCC